AAAAUACGUUGCUUUUUGCAAUUGUUAUAAACGAUUUAUCAAAAAGUUGGCCGAUUAUUCACGUCACAUAACAAGAUUAUCUAAAAGAACUUUAAAUUUGAAUGGACAGUAUUCCGAUUUCGAAAAAGAAUUUUGUAUAACAACUGAUGCAAGUAAACAAGCAUAACCAUCAGCCAUCAAAAAAAAUCCUGCGUAGGAAAUGAACAAUUAGACUUGCCAGAGCAAUCUAUUGUCAACGCUUCUAAGCCCAAGUUAUAUGAAGUCAUAACAAAUGAAGUACGUAAAGUAGUGACCUUGCGAAUAACCGAAUCCAUAUGUUUAUUGAAACAUGGAAAUAAAGUGUUUCGAGAAUUGAUGUUACACCAAUGGAAUUCUAGACUUAGGUCAGUUCUUCCAAAGGCUUGAAACGCAAUCCGGUAUACUUAAGAUCAGCCAAAAAUAUUUUAAAUACAUUAAGAGUAGCGCUACUCAAGCCGGUGAUCCUAAUAAAUAAUACAAAAGAUCAAGAAGCGAUUCUGUUUACCAAUCAUGACGAUCCGAUACAAGGCGGUCAAAAACAUUGACAGUGACAGUGAACACAAUUGGUCCACUACCGAAAUCUGAGUAUGGCAAUGAAUACGCACUCACUUUGAUCUGUGACCUAACAAAAUAUUUAGUUGCCAUUCCAAUUGCCAAUAAAAGUGUAAUUGCACUAAAUCGCUAAACCAA